rnacentral:rRNA from 1 species
UACGAAGGGGGCUAGCGUUGUUCGGAAUCACUGGGCGUAAAGCGCACGUAGGCGGACUUUUAAGUCGGAGGUGAAAUCCCAAGGCUCAACCUUGGAACUGCCUUCGAUACUGGGAGUCUUGAGUAUGAUAGAGGUUAGUGGAACUGCAAGUGUAGAGGUGAAAUUCGUAGAUAUUUGCAAGAACACCAGUGGCGAAGGCGGCUAACUGGAUCAUUACUGACGCUGAGGUGCGAAAGCGUGGGGAGCAAACAGG